rnacentral:rRNA from 1 species
AUUGAAUGCUGGCGGCAGGCUUAACACAUGCAAGUCAAGCGAGCGGGGGCUGGGUGAGUAAUGUCUGGGAGCCCGCCUGAUGGAGGGGGAUAACUACUGGAAACGGUAGCUAAUACCACCUGCCAUCAGAUGUGCCCAGAUGGUAUUAGCUAGUAGGUGGGGUAAUGGCUCACCUAGGCGACAAUCCCUAGCUGGUCUGAGAGGAUGAGCAGCCACACUGGAACUGAGACACGGUCCAGAUGCCUACGGGAGGCAACAGUGGGGAAUAUUGCACAAUGGGCGCAAGCCUGAUGCAGCCAUGCCGCGUGUGUGAAGAAGGCCUUCGGGUUGUAAAGCACUUUCAGCGAGGAGGCGUUACUCGCAGAAGAAGCACCGGCUAACUCCGUGCCAGCAGCCGCGGUAAUAC